CCUUCGGCCUCGCCGCCCGAGCUGGCGACCGGCAGCGGCGGCACACCGUCAUCUGCCCGCCGGCGACCACUUAUUGAAGCUCCUCCAGUUCUUGAUACGACAUCCUCCUGUUGUGAGCCCCCAAUCUCUCCUUCCCGUCUCCUUUCUGUACUUUCCCGUCCUCUCCUCCCACCCAAACGUUCCUCUCCCGACGGUCUUCAUCGACACAAUAGCUCGUUGUCCUGCGCCUACUACUCCUCGGGCGGCAAGCACCUCAGGCACGAUGGACAUGGCCUUUGCAAUCAGUAGGAGGACUGGAGGAGAUCUGGGCGCAUGACCUGGAUGGCUCAACGAUGCCAGAUCCGGUGGUAGAUCAUGAUGUACAGCUGUCGUCGAAACAGAUGAACCGCCAAAGCUGACCCAUCUUCGUUUCGCGAUUCUGGUUCCCUCUCUCUCCCUCUCUUAAUUUGGUGCUCAAUGUUCCUGUAAUUUCUUCAAAAUUUGGGUGUGGUUGAUUCGUUCUUGCUUGUUCACCCGGCGGAAAAGCAGUAAUCACAAGGCUAGAUUAAAUUGUAUCCAUUUUUUCUGCUAGGUGAUGAAUUCAACUCACCCAGCGGAAAAGCAGUUGGUAUCUCUUUGGACUUCGGCUAGAAUUCUAGAGAAGAGGAUUAUAUUCAUUACUUGAACAAAUGAACAUGGCGAAAAAAUUGCCAUUUCAGAUGAGGCUGGUGGUGGAAACCUCUAGCAGCAUUGAGAUAUAAUUUCCAUUUCAUACAAGACGCUUUGGAUUGAUAGUAUGACAAAUUUAUUCACACAACCGAUUCUAAGCAUGAAGCUGAUGUUAAUGACUUCCAUUCUAGAGUACUAAGCCGUGGUGACACAUAUAUAGAGCUGAUUAAGAAGGUUACUGUGCGAGAUGUGAGGAGUACAAGCUCGAGAUGAUGUCUGAUGCCAUUGACAAAAACAAUAGACAAAGAUGAGGCCGAAGAAGAAACAGAAGAGCUCACCAACCAGGUAAAAUGCUAACUAUAUUCUCUUUAGUAAGUGUUUCAUGCCAUAAUGGUGAAUUUGGAUAUACUGCAAGAUCUUGUGCUUGUUGAUGAGGUCGGAACCGUUGGUGAAGCUAGCUUUGGGUGCAUUUGGAACUCAAGCCAGGACAAUCCUAGGCUUGCUAGAGAAAGGAGGGCAUUUGGCUAUGCUAGCCAGUGUUGCUGGUAACUGCAAAAGUUAUCUUGCCAUCAGAGCCUCAGAGGAGAUUAUUAAGAUAGAUGUGCAAGCAUUCAGAGAAUAUAUGAAGAUUCUUCAGAUCCAUGCAGGAGAAUGUUGAUUGUGAGAGCAUACUGUCAAACUUCUUACAUUGGAAUUCUUCUUAAACAGUAUAUCCAUAUAAGGUACAUAAACGCGGGCAAGUUAUUGUCUUAAAGCAAGUAAUAGUUGAUAUGGAGGAAGAUGUUGAGUUUCAAAUUGGCACAGAAAAGAAAAUCUUAAUAAUCCAUAAAAGAGGACAAUUUUUGCAGUUAUCAGCAAUUUUUUGGGCUAUCCUAUCCAGUUUUUGUUUUCUGGUAGGAAAAAAUAGCUUAAUACAACAUGUUUCUGAUAUUUUCAUAGUUAAAAAUAUUGACGCGACCUUUAGUUUUACAAUAUGGUUUAGUUAAUGUAAGAUGGAAGAUUUCCUGAUAUCAAUGAUUUUACAGCAUGGUUUAGUUAUCUGUAGCAGUGUAGCAUCUUGCUAAUUAGUUCCCUGCACUUCCCACUAAAGUUAUUUAGUUAUCUGUAGCAGCUGUGUCUUGAAUGUUAUUUUGAUGAAAUCAAGAUAAUAUUGUUUGUUAUUUUGAUUUGGUUGUCAAUAGCAGGGGAUAUUGAUAGCGGGGCGACCGAUGUCCCUUGAAUGACAGGGUUGCAGCGAAGGUGUACACCAUGUUAAAUGAUUACUGACCAAUAGGUUGUUGCUUGGGUAGGAUCUGGUUUGGGCGGUACUUCAGGUGGAAGUUGAUACAAAGUAGAACAGUUCCUUCAAGUAAUGGCAAUGGAGAGGUUCAUGAGAAAGGGAAUGUCGUAACAUUUUCUCAAAAGAUAUGUAUCAGUGAUUAUUAGCCGUAUAAAAAUGAAAAAUCAACUAUUAUCUCAUGUAGAAAUAUGCUAAAACAAAUAUGCUGUUUUCCAAAA